CCUUGAAGAGUUUGAUCAUGGCUCAGAUUGAACGCUGGCGGCAGGCCUAACACAUGCAAGUCGAACGGUACAGGAAGAAGCUUGCUCUUUGCUGACGAGUGGCGGACGGGUGAGUAAUGUCUGGGAAACUGCCUGAUGGAGGGGGAUAAUACUGGAAACGGUAGCUAAUACCGCAUAACGUCGCAAGACCAAAGAGGGGGACCUUCGGCCUCUUGCCAACGGAUGUGCCCAGAUCCGAUUAGCUAGUAGGUGGGGUAACGGCUCACCUAGGCGACGAUUCACGCCCUCUGAGAGGAUGACCAGCCACACUGGAACGAGACACGGUCCAGACUCCUACGGGAGGCAGCAGUGGGGUUAUUGCACAAUGGGCCAAGCCUGAUGCAGCCAUGCCGCGUGUAUGUUGAAGGCCUUCGGGUUGUAAAGUACUUUCAGAGGGGAGGAAGGGAGUAAAAUUAAUACCUUGCUCAUUGACGUUACCCGCAGAAGUAGCACCGGCUACAUUCUCCGUGCCAGCUGCUGCGGUAAUACGGAGGGUGCAAGCGUUAAUCGGAAUUACUGGGCGUAAAGCGCACGCAGGCGGUUUGUUAAGUCAGAUGUGAAAUCCCCGGGCUCAACCUGGGAACUGCAUCUGAUAUGGCAAGCUUGAGUCUCGUAGAGGGGGGUAGAAUUCCAGGUGUAGCGGUGAAAUGCGUAGAGAUCUGGAGGAAUACCGGUGGCGAAGGCGGCCCCCUGGACGAAGACUGACGCUCAGGUGCGAAAGCGUGGGGAGCAAACAGGAUUAGAUCCCCUGGUAUCCACGCCGUAAACGAUGUCGACUUGGAGGUUGUGCCCUUGAGGCGUGGUCCGGAGCUAACGCGUUAAGUCGACCGCCUGGGGAGUACGGCCGCUUCUACCGGAUG
rnacentral:rRNA from 1 species